CACAGAAGUGCAGUCAGACGCAGCAGACGGGACGCCAACCAGUUGUCGUGUACCCUCUAGCCAUCUGCAUGUCGAGCAGUGUGAACCUUGAGUUGGGGUUGAUUGAUCAAAUGUAGCUAUCAAACUGGAGAGUGUAGCUACCAGACCAGCACUGGUGAAGGAUGUCCGGCAGCUCUCCCCACAGCACCAGACCUUCUCUCUGGAGGCAUUUCACUCCCUCAUGUUGCACUUUGCCCCCAAGCACACCAGCUUCUCCUUUCUUGGGAUGUACAGUAGGCUUCUCUUGGCAGCCCUGCAUUACAACAACAAUGGCAGCAGAGAGAUUGCCCGGACCAGUGAUGGUGAGGCCUGUUUUGCCGUUUCAUACCCAAGGUUCCGCAAAGGUGACUGCUUUGUCCGUCCCGUCAAGGAGAAGCCAUCAUACGCAUAUGCAUCAGCCCUCAUGGAGUCUCUGAGAGUGGGAUACUCCAGGUCGCCACAGGCUCUACGUGAGAAGAGUGCUCUGUUGUCCUCAGCCACACCUGCCCCCCUUUGCAGAUCCUUCCAGCAUAUCAACAAGGAUGAAGCCAUUGGCCAGCAUAGUGCACGACAGUUGUGCUUCAGCACAGGACAUUAAUACAGAUGCUAUUAUACUUUUUAUUUUACGUCAUCUGUGUGUUUGGAAACUUAUUUUGUAUUGAUAUAUUCUUGCACUGGAAACUAGCUCUUAGAGCGGCUGCCAAUAAUGUGUUAACAUUAGGGGUUUUUUUUGUCUAUUUGCUGCCAUUGUUGUAAGGUAAGUGGUUUAGAGGGCUGUGUGACAUCAGAAAUCGUGACUGGGAGUACGUCGAUCUGGUACGAGUUCAGUGGGAAGUGGGAAGUUACGAGUUUGACUGCCAUUCCAGUGCACGUUCACGGGUAGAAAGUUGUAAAAACAGGAGUUACGACACCAGAAGAUUCUAUACUUUUGUCUAUGUGACACACCACAUAAUUGAUUCUUAUUGAAGUCACAUGAAUGAAAGUGUAGUGCAGCUGCUGAACAGUGCACACCCUAGUGUCUCACCUGUACAGAGCAGUUUACAUGAUAUCUAAUGCAUUUGUGUUUAGACAAAAGCAGUGUUGGGCAGUAACAUAUUACACAUUAUUCUAAACUUUACCCAGCAACGAGUAAAGGGAUAACAUUUUCCAAAGCAGUAUUUACAUUACAGUUACUAAGUCAGGUAACUGAGCUACUUUGAGGUACUUUGUUACCAGAAAGUAAUUUGUUUUUGUCCUAAUAAUGUCACGACCCGUCCUCCGUGAUGCUGUGUGUGUGUGUCUGUGUGUGUGUGUGUGUGUGCUUUUGUUUUUGUUUUUUCAGUCAUUUGAGUGAGUGGGUGUAUGGCUGGUGUGUUUUUGUUCUUGUCUCUCUACCUGUUCUCUCCCUCCCCUCUCUUCUCUCAAUCAACACACCGGCCACCCAGCAGUAAUCAACACACCGGUCUGCUAUCAAGCCAUCAUCCUCACCUUCAAGUAUCCCGCAGCAACAGUCAGUCUCCGCUGGAUCGUUGCCGUUUACGGUAGAUCUCCUGCUGCCAGCCACGCCACACCGGACCCCCUCUGCCCCAUACUCCGCCGUCAUCGCCUGCCAGCUGAUACCCCCCUUUGACUCAAUAAACAUUGUAAACUUA